CCACACAUACUCAUACCUUCAAGUCUUCAACACAAGUCAAAAUUCUCCAAUAUUGCAAUCUAUCCUACCCGAAACGUAUGAAUUAAGGUGGAAAAAGUGUCACAAUGCCUAUCCGAAUGUGUCAAAAUGCUUAAUGAGAAAGCAUUGACAAGAUCAUAAUAUUAGAACAAAUACACAAGGGCAUUAACUCUGCUUCAACUAAAACAUGAAAUAGAGAAAAAACGGAAAGUCUAA
rnacentral:lncRNA from 1 species